GACGUAGGGCGCGAGCGUUGUCCGGAUUUAUUGGGCGUAAAGAGCUCGUAGGCGGCUUGUCGCGUCGACUGUGAAAUCCCGCGGCUCAACCGCGGGUCUGCAGUCGAUACGGGCAGGCUAGAGUUCGGUAGGGGAGACUGGAAUUCCUGGUGUAGCGGUGAAAUGCGCAGAUAUCAGGAGGAACACCGAUGGCGAAGGCAGGUCUCUGGGCCGAUACUGACGCUGAGGAGCGAAAGCCAGGGGAGCAAACGGGG
rnacentral:rRNA from 1 species